AUGUUCCUAGAUCUUUCUGACAACAGGUUAUUUGGAGGAUUGCCAGAAUGGUUACCCCAAAAAAUGCCACACUUGAAAAUAUUAAGAGUGAGAUCAAAUAUGUUCAGUGGUCAUAUUCCUAAGAGUCUCACUUCCCUUCAUGGUCUUCAUUAUUUGGAUAUAGCACACAACAACAUAACAGGAAGCAUACCAUGGUCUUUGUCAAACCUGAAGGCAAUGAUGACAGUGGUGUCGCAGGACACAGGGGAUUACAUUUAUGAGGAGAGCAUCCCAGUAAUCACAAAGGACCAAAAACGUGACUACACCUUUGCAAUUUACCAGCUACUGGUAGUUCUUGAUUUGUCAAGUAAUAGUUUGGUAGGUCAGGUUCCAGAGGAGAUAACUCUACUCAUUGGACUUACCAGCCUGAACUUGUCAAAUAAUCAGUUCAUAGGAACAAUCCCGAACCAAGUUGGUGAUUUAAAGCGGUUGGAGUCACUCGACCUAUCCUACAAUGAGUUUUCUGGUGCAAUACCAUCAAGUUUGUCAGCUUUAACUUAUUUGAGCCACUUAAACUUGUCAUACAACAAUCUGUCUGGUGCAAUACCAUCCAGCCAACAGCUAUAA
rnacentral:rRNA from 1 species